rnacentral:lncRNA from 1 species
AAACCCCACGACCUUUCAAUUUCGUCAUCUUCUUCGACGCUAAACAACUCCAUUCAAAACCCGAACUCUCACUUCCCACUCUGAAAAAUGAAUUUAACCUUUUAUCCUCCUCUUUUUAUACAAAUAACCCUGAAAACGACAAGCUCUUCUUUUUCACUAUCGAAUUUCAUGAAUCACAAACUUCGUUCGCUUUAUUUGGGGUUAUACAAAUAACCCUGAAAAUGACAAGCUCUUUUUUUUCACUAUCGAAUUUCAAGAAUCACAAACUUCGUUCGCUUUAUUUGGGGUUAAUUCAUUACCCCAUUUGCGUUUAAUUCCACCUUCAGCAAUUGAUCUUAAAAAAGAUUCGAUUCAAAUGGAUGGUUCUGAUUUAGCCAGGUUAGCUGAAUCAAUGGCUGAAUUUGUUGAAGCUAAGGCAAAAAUUAAUGUGGGUCCCAUUCAUAGACCACCGAUGAUUUCGAAGAAACAGAUGAUGGGUAUUGAAUCACAAACUUCGUUCGCUUUAUUUGGGGUUAAUUCAUUACCCCAUUUGCGUUUAAUCCCACCUUCAGCAAUUGAUCUUAAAAAAGAUUCGAUUCAAAUGGAUGGUUCUGAUUUAGCCAGGUUAGCUGAAUCAAUGGCUGAAUUUGUUGAAGCUAAGGCAAAGAUUAAUGUGGGUCCCAUUCAUAGACCACCUAUGAUUUCG